AGGUACUGCAUUAUGAUACUCCUUUUGCGGUUACUGAGUUUUUGGUGUUUUGUAUUGAUUGUUUGAAUUUUGAGAAAGGUAGGAUUUGGAUUCUAAUAUGUUUGCACAUGUAUAAUUAACAGUAGCUGCGUCUUGAUAGUAUAUUUCACUCUUUGCGUCUUUAUUCAAAAAGUUCUAUAGAUUUUCUUGUUGCUGUAAAUGUUUUAUAUUUCUGGAAAUUAAUUAACUCUUGUUGGUGUUAAUAUCAAUGAUAUACAUACAAAUUAGAUUUUGAUAAUUAACAAUUAAAGAUUGCAAAACUAGGAAAAGAAAAACUUGAUCAAAAAUGACUUUAUUAGAUCAGCUUCAAUAGAUCUCAUUUAGAAAUGAGGUGCAUUGUUACCUGUUUUUCAAAGUGCAUGAAGGGAUAAUCAUAUUUUAUCCACUUCAGUUUUGAAGACAAUUUGAAUUCGGAUUUAAUUGUUGGAAUUUCGUAGAUUUGGUGAACAAUUUGGGAACAAUUGCGAGGUCUGGCACCAAGGAAUUUAUGGAGGCAUUGCAGGCAGGUGCUGAUGUAAGCAUGAUUGGGCAAUUUGGUGUGGGUUUCUACUCUGCUUAUCUUGUUGCAGAGAAGGUGAUUGUUACAACCAAGCACAAUGAUGAUGAGCAAUGCAUCUGGGAAUCUCAAGCUGGAGGCUCAUUCACUGUUACACGGGAUGUCGACGGAGAGCAACUUGGCAGGGGAACAAAGAUCACCCUUUUCUUGAAGGAAGAUCAGGUACAUUUGCUUUCCUAAUUAUUCACAUUUGUAUUUGAUUUACCCAAAUGUAUUGAUAGUGGAGUGGAUACGGGUUACAAUCAGCAGAGGUUUGUGUUUAUUUUAUUUUAUAUUUUUUAAAUAGAAAUGUGUCUUUGAUAAGCAUUGCAAAUGUAAAUAUAAUACUGCGUAUAAAACAUUGAGUUGUUAUGGAUCUAUGUUAACUUGAAGCGUAAACUCACCCAAAUGAUCUGGUGGAAGGUGAACUUGAUAAAUUCUAUCAGGAAUUUAUAUUUCAAUUGACAUGUUGAGAAUGUGUGACAAAGAAGACAAUGAACUAUUAUGUUUGUAGAAAUUGAGGUUAUUAUAAUGUUGGGAUGAUAAUUUUGCCACCGAUGACUUAUGGUUUAAUCUGGACCGUGUGCAGUUGGAAUACCUGGAGGAGAGGAGAAUCAAAGAUCUCGUGAAGAAGCACUCAGAGUUCAUUAGCUAUCCCAUUUAUCUUUGGACUGAGAAGACAACUGAGAAGGAAGUUAGUGAUGACGAGGAUGAUGAGCCAAAGAAAGAAGAGGAGGGUGAUAUCGAAGAGGUCGAUGAAGACAAAGAGAAGAAGGGAAAGAAGAAGAAGAUCAAGGAAGUUUCUCACGAGUGGCAACUGAUCAACAAGCAAAAACCCAUCUGGUUGCGUAAGCCAGAGGAGAUAACAAAGGAGGAGUAUGCCUCUUUCUACAAGAGCUUGACCAAUGACUGGGAGGAUCACCUUG
rnacentral:lncRNA from 1 species